rnacentral:rRNA from 1 species
UACGGAGGGGGCUAGCGUUGUUCGGAAUUACUGGGCGUAAAGCGCGCGUAGGCGGACCUGCAAGUCGGGGGUGAAAGCCCGAGGCUCAACCUCGGAACUGCCUUCGAUACUGCGGGUCUCGAGUCCGGGAGAGGUGAGUGGAAUUCCUAGUGUAGAGGUGAAAUUCGUGGAUAUCAGGAGGAACACCGAUGGCGAAGGCAGGUCUCUGGGCCGAUACUGACGCUGAGGAGCGAAAGCGUGGGGAGCGAACAGG